rnacentral:rRNA from 1 species
GUGCCAGCAGCCGCGGUAAUACGUAGGGGCCUAGCGUUGUCCGGAAUCAUUGGGCGUAAAGAGCUCGUAGGCGGUUCAGCAAGUCGGCUGUGAAAGUCCGAGGCUCAACCUCGGAAUUGCAGUCGAUACUGUUGUGACUCGAGUCCGGUAGAGGAGAAUGGAAUUCCCGGUGUAGCGGUGAAAUGCGCAGAUAUCGGGAGGAACACCAGUAGCGAAGGCGGUUCUCUGGGCCGGUACUGACGCUGAGGAGCGAAAGCGUGGGGAGCGAACAGGAUUAGAUACCCUGGUAGUCCACGCCGUAAACGUUGGACACUAGGUGUGGCGGUCUUACCAACGACUGCCGUGCCGAAGCUAACGCAUUAAGUGUCCCGCCUGGGGAGUACGGCCGCAAGGCUAAAACUCAAAUGAAUUGACGGGA